AUUGAACGCUGGCGGCACGCCUAACACAUGCAAGUCGAGCGGUAGCAUGAUUAGUAGCAAUACUAAUUGAUGACGAGCGGCGGACGGGUGAGGAACACGUAGGAACUUGCCUUUCAGAGGGGGAUAACUAAGGGAAACUUUAGCUAAUACCGCGUAAACUCGAGAGAGAAAAGUUGCCCGCAAGGGUGACGCUGAAAGAGAGGCCUGCGUCCGAUUAGCUAGUUGGUAGGGUAAAAGCCUACCAAGGCGAUGAUCGGUAACUGGUCUGAGAGGACGACCAGUCACACUGGGACUGAGACACGGCCCAGACUCCUACGGGUGGCAG
rnacentral:rRNA from 1 species